GGAGGUAUAGUUCAGUGGCAGAGCAUAUGCUUUGUAUGCACAAGGCCCUGAGUUCAAUUCCCACUACCACCC
rnacentral:tRNA from 1 species